GACGAACGCUGGCGGCGUGCUUAACACAUGCAAGUCGAGCGGUAAGGCCCUUUCGGGGGUACACGAGCGGCGAACGGGUGAGUAACACGUGGGUGACCUGCCCUUAGCUCUGGGAUAAGCCUGGGAAACUGGGUCUAAUACCGGAUAUGACUCCAUGACGCAUGUUGUGGGGUGGGAAAGCCUUGUGCGGCUAGGGAUGGGCCCGCGGCCUAUCAGCUUGUUGGUGGGGUGAUGGCCUACCAAGGCGACGACGGGUAGCCGGCCUGAGAGGGCGACCGGCCACACUGGGACUGAGACACGGCCCAGACUCCUACGGGAGGCAGCAGUGGGGAAUAUUGGACAAUGGGCGCAAGCCUGAUCCAGCGAUGCCGCGUGUGUGAAGAAGGCCUGCGGGUUGUAAAGCACUUUCAGU
rnacentral:rRNA from 1 species